AGCGAACGCUGGCGGCAGGCCUAACACAUGCAAGUCGAACGGACCCUUCGGGGUUAGUGGCAGACGGGUGAGUAACACGUGGGAACGUGCCUUUAGGUUCGGAAUAGCUCCUGGAAACGGGAGGUAAUGCCGAAUGUGCCCUUCGGGGGAAAGAUUUAUCGCCUUUAGAGCGGCCCGCGUCUGAUUAGCUUGUUGGUGGGGUAAUGGCCCACCAAGGCUACGAUCAGUAGCUGGUCUGAGAGGAUGACCAGCCACAUUGGGACUGAGACACGGCCCAAACUCCUACGGGAGGCAGCAGUGGGGAAUCUUGCGCAAUGGGCGAAAGCCUGACGCAGCCAUGCCGCGUGUAUGAUGAAGGUCUUAGGAUUGUAAAAUACUUUCACCGGUGAGGAUAAUGACUGUAGCCGGAGAAGAAGCCCGGCUAACUUCGUGCCAGCAGCCGCGGUAAUACGAAGGGGGCUAGCGUUGCUCGGAAUUACUGGGCGUAAAGGGAGCGUAGGCGGACAUUU
rnacentral:rRNA from 1 species